GGCCUUGUGGUGUAUUACAUAUUAGAUUGCAAACCUAAAGUUGUAGAUAGGAGUCUGCCGGGGCUU
rnacentral:tRNA from 1 species